rnacentral:rRNA from 1 species
AACGCGAAGAACCUUACCAAGGCUUGACAUGGACUGGAUCGCAUCAGAGAUGGUGUUUCCCUUCGGGGCUGGUUCACAGGUGGUGCAUGGUUGUCGUCAGCUCGUGUCGUGAGAUGUUGGGUUAAGUCCCGCAACGAGCGCAACCCUCGUUCCAUGUUGCCAGCGCGUUAUGGCGGGGACUCAUGGGAGACUGCCGGGGUCAACUCGGAGGAAGGUGGGGACGACGUCAAAUCAUCAUGCCCCUUAUGUCUUGGGCUUCACGCAUGCUACAAUGGCCGGUACAAAGGGUUGCGAUACUGUGAGGUGGAGCUAAUCCCAGAAAGCCGGUCUCAGUUCGGAUUGGGGUCUGCAACUCGACCCCAUGAAGUUGGAGUCGCUAGUAAUCGCAGAUCAGCAACGCUGCGGUGAAUACGUUCCCGGGCCUUGUACACACCGCUACAGU